GGGGCCGUUUAUGGAUUCGACGGGGGUAGUUCGGACAUGAGUAGCGGGUAGUAGGGCUGCGGCUGCUUCACCAACGCGGAAGCCAAUUAACUGGCAAACAACAACCAACCUACGCUGUAGCAGCCUGAAGAAACUGCUCACGUGCUCCUACCUUCCAUCGCCCAUGUGGCGGGAUAGGGGCUCAACUUUAGUGGGAUACGCUGUCUAGUCUCCGCCUGGGGCUAACAGAAGAAGACAAUCAGGCUGACCCGAAGGGAAUCCGGUGACAGGGAGUCUCUAGGGUGACAUCAAAUCUGUCACUACACCCGUAGAAGCUUAUGUUGCGUUAUCUUCGGACAGGGGUUCGACUCCCCUCGGCUCCACCA
rnacentral:tmRNA from 1 species